UGCUGAUGUUAUGAUCUUAUAUAUAGAAAACCCUAAAGACUACACAAGAAAACUCUUAGAAUACAUCAAUGAAUUCACUAAAGUUGCAA